rnacentral:lncRNA from 1 species
CCAUUAAAAGGAAAAAAAACUAAAAGAAGACAUGCCAAUGUACAAGUUACAUCAUAAUUUAUGUAUUAUUUCUAACAAAUCUCAUAAAACCUUCAAGGAUUUAGAUGUACCUUUUCCGAAUAUUUUUUUCAAUGAAAAUGUCAUACUAAUUAUAAUUAAGCAAAAUAACAACACAUAACAAAUAUUCUUAGCACGUAAGAGUUGAAACGAGUUUACCGGAUUGACGAACAACUUCUUGAAAAUUGAAAAUCGUUGUAAUUGAACAC